UGAUGUGUAGCCCUAAAUUUUUCUCUAAUUUGUUCUGAUUAGCCCGGAUAGUCAUGUAAAGUGCACAGAAAGAUAUUCAUGCAUGAAUAAAAUAUAAUACAAGAAAAAUUGGGCGGCUAUGUUGAGGUCACAUUAGGCUGCAAACUUCAUUACCUGGGAUAACAAUGGAAAUUUUUGUUGUAAAAGUUUCAGUGCGCAUCGAAUAGAGUGUCCUUAUGCCAUUGAAUAUGGGCAUAACUCAUUUAUAUCUCUGACUUGGGUUCAUUUGAUAUCAGAUCACUUUUCAUAUCAGAUAUUUCAUUCAUCCUUGUAUCAUAUCGUCUUUCUGUUCUCAGAAUGACGCUUGUUCCGCAUUGUUUUUGCGGAGUCAAGUCACUCUGCUUCGAAGAUGGUAUAGAAUUAAAUUGAACAACUUUAAAUUUCACUUGAAUGCACGAAUCUAAUGCAAUUUUUCGCCGGAACUCUGUUUCGAAAAAGCAGCCUUGUUUUAAAAAAUUGUUUGACGCACUUUCAUUCCUCACAAACAAAACGCACUUGCAUUCCUCACAAACAAAACGCACUUGCAUUCCUCACAAACAAAACAAAAUGGUGUAACGAAAGUGUAUCCGGUAAGAAAUGAGUCCGAUGCAGUAUGAAUCUGGUACUGUGAAAAACUUUUUCACUUGAUUCUUAUUCUUCAAAAGAGGCGCACAGUUUCCGAAGAAGGGGCGCCAGAUUUGCUUCAACUCGUCGAGGGAGGGGCAGCUGCCCCCUCUUAAAUCCACUGGUCGCAGAAAAUCUUCAUACUUGAAAUCUUCGACAAGAUGUCAAAAGUGACAAAGUAACUUGAAGACUUUGACUGCUAACGUUGAUCUAUUUCAUUAGUUUUUAAAAAUUGUUCUUUCUUGAUGAACUGCAACGAUUCGAUUCGAUUCAGACAAACGAACCAAACUUUGGUCUUUCACAAGGCAUAGACCCAAGGAAUCACAACAGAACACGCGCGGUCUUUCACCUCAAAUCUCGACCUAUUUCCCUUUGACGUUUUUAGUUGAAAAGGUGCAUUGUUGUCGGCCAGGAGCAAGACAUUCUGAAGAAAAAAUGUCCAAAUUUUUCAUCAAUUUCCAGCCAUGAUAUUUUCACUUCAAUGGUGCUAGGAUACUUGACUCGAUAUUGCUGAAACCUAUUGCUAUUAAAAGAUUCUCGCCAACAAUAUCAAAGUUGUUUUCCUGUAAAGUAGGAAAUCGCGAUAACCUGCUAAAAAUAUGCAGAAAUUUGCUUUAUAUCAUGUUUCCAGGGCAGACUGCAGCUACGCAAUGUCCAUGGCGAUUCCCCACGAAAAGAAAAUUACACUGUCAUGUUCCACAGGGAUCUUUUCUAAGCCUUUUUUGUUGACGGCCAUUCGCCCGGAGAACUGCUAAGUAACCUAUUAAGAUGGUACCACCCUUGCAAGGAUUGUCAAGAAUCUGAACCGGAGAAAGAACUCAGUCCUCUUUUGGAAUGGCUCCAAGACAAUAAAAACCUAUUAAAUUUCCUGAUAAUAUAAGCGAUGUCUUUGAAUCUUGCUCUAAUGCCGAGAUAAAAUCGAUAAAAUUAGCGCAAAGCUUCCCACUUUUUUGCUCAUUUCGGAACAAUGGUUGAUAAAAUAUUUAAAAAACGAUGAGAUUUUUUACGAUCAAACGCCUCACAAGCAACAGAAUUUCUCGAAUUAUCAAAUAUAUUAAUUCCAAUUCCAUUCUCGGCAAAACAUGUUGUGAUAUUAUUGAACCGCAUUUCCGCUAAUGUUCUUUGGUUUAGGUUAGUGCUUGAUCUGUGGUUUGGGGGCAUACGAGGGACUAGGUUCCAGGUUCAUAAAUAACCUCCAAACUGAUCAGCUAAAAUUGUAGCAAAAUGUGGUUUGCCUCGUCUGCCAAUGCCAUGAUAGAAAGUCCAAAAUGGCCUACAUUGGCGGAAAAUGCCCAAAAAGUUUUGCAAUCAGAUUUUGCAAAAUAGUUCUUUUGUUUAUAUUCUUAUGUCAUUGAUAAAAUGUGCGUCAUUUAUUCUCCUCUCCAUCUUAUUUUGGUUCUGUGUUCAAUGCAAAAAAUUAUUACACUUGCUGCACUAGAAAGGUUAUUCUUAAGUGUUUCAAUAACUUUCCCAUUUCAUGUGAAAAUUUUGCCUUGUAUUUGGUUUUCCUUCGGUCUAAAUCAAUUUUAGAUCCUGUUCUGACAAUUCUUAGAAUAGAAUAUUUCCAAAGUUUUUCUUUCCUUUAAACAUGGUGGUUGACUUGCUACCAGUCUCUCUCUCCCCUCUACACACCCAGGCAAAAGUAUUGCAACACCCAAAACAAAAUAGCAUAAAGACCUAACCUUAAGAAGCGAACAUUUCUUUAUGUCAAUGACCAUGAUCUGAAUUGUAAUCCAAGAAAUAUUCUUAGUUCGAAACAAGAACUGCUGAUUUAAAAUUUUGAAAAAUUAAAAUGGAAUAUUCGAAUUCACGCGUCGUGUAAUUUGCUGCCUUAUUUACGCACUAUUAGCUGAUUAGACAAUAGCCAAAACUACUGCGUGAUCCGCCAUUAAUCGUCUUCGCAGGUGUUGCAUACUUUGGUCCUUAUAGUGUAUUUCGUAAUCUGAAAAAUAAAGAAAGAAAAAAGUGAAGAAGAGGGAAGGAGAUAUAUAUGUAGAAACAUCCGUGGCAACAUCAACUUGAGGGGGAAUUGCAUAAACACAGAUUGAUUUGAAAUUGAAGGGAACAAACAUCAUCAGUGACAUUCACGUAAAGAGACAGAUAUCUGACGCUUUGAAAAGCAUUGGAUAGGUGGCAGUUAAUCCCCCUGCUCCCUGCUUUAGAGGCCAUGAUUCGAGUGUGGCCAGAAAAUGACUCAUGAUCAAAAAUAUUUCUCGAUUGCUUGUGUUUGCUGCGAUGUUAUCAUUCUUUUAUGCGCAAGAAAACACGAGCAGUGCCAUACAAACAUUUGAUAAGUCAUUGUCAAAUGUGAAUUUGAAAACCGUUUUCUAUUUAUAACGAAGAAACAAAUUAGUCAAAAAAUUUCAGUGGAUGUUGAUAACUUUCAAUCCGAAGGCAAGAGGAUUUUAAAAAUCAGUAGGCAACAGUCCUCAAUCUUUUUUGAAAGCAAUGAAACAUGUUCAUAUACGCAGCAAAAUAUAUUGCGGGGAUUAAGCUUCCUAGCCCCCCUCUCUCAUCCCCAGGAAUCAAGCCCCUCCCGAAAGAAUAAAAAAGGUAGGUCGGAAUUAGCAGGAUUACAGAUUAGGAUUAUGAAAUGAGGAAUAGUAGGAAAAGGCAAAAAGAAAUGGGCGCUUUGAUUGUUUGUCUUGGAUUAGCGACAGCACAAGACCGAUGAAGAGAACAACAGGAUUAUAAUCACAAAUUCAAAUUAUUUACUUCAGCUGCUUUAUGGUAUUAUCAAUGCAAUGGAGGCAAGCUUUCGCAUUAUGCUAAAGUCCCUUCUUUAUAUCCAAGAUCGUGAAUCUUGCUGGUCAUGGGUCAAUAAAGCAAAACAAAGGCUUCUAACCAUCCAAAACCGCUAUUUUUCUUGCCGAGUUCAGUCUUGAUAUUCAGUAGUUUCAGUCACAAGGAGGCUCUUGUACUCCAUCUGAAGACAAACCUGUUAACAUAAUUUUACUUCAGCUGGUGCCUUUCACAAACAGGUAACCCGAGGACAACUCUAAAGGCAGAUUAUUCCCUUUUAAUUGCCGAUGAAUAACAUUUCUUGCAAGGAUGACUGACAGCGUUAGCUUGGCAUUCUACAUUGUAAACUUUUUCAUACUAUUUGCUUCUCUCUUCUUGAAUUCUCUUGGUAUCUACCUUCUUUAUGCUCAAAGACUUACCAUUACUGGACAAAAUAUGAUUUUGGUGAACCUGAGUGUAUUGAAGAUAUUAAUAACAAUUACAGAAAGUGUGAUUUGUGUGAUGGAGAUCCUUGGAAAGGGAGACACUAACCGAGAGUAUCAAGUUAUUGAUAUCAUCAAUGGCGGUCUUUAUGGUAUAAACGACCUCACUGUCAUAACUCUCACUAUCGACAGAUUCAUAGCUUCUGUCAGCCCAUUGGUUUAUAACUUCCAUGUAACAAAGAAGAAACUUAUGACAGCCGUUGCUAUCUCCUGGCUUGUUGGAACUGGAGGAAUAAUUCCUUUUUUCUACGCUGAAUACGAUGCGUUGUAUGAUAUUUAUUACAAAAUAGUAUUUUUAGUUUGCGAUGGGACAAUCAUUCUUAUAGCAUUUAUUACAUACGGAUCGAUACUUAGAGCAUUGUUAACAGCAAGGAAGAGACUGUCAGGAUUUUCGCGUGGUGGACCAAAACACUUCAAACGGAGACAUAAUAAAUUCUUUUACGUAGCUGGUCUAAUAAUCGUCAGUUUUAUCACAUUUGUGGCUAUCCCAGAUGCAGUGUAUGUCUCUUUGGUUAUUGUGCAAGAAAGGGAGGACCCAAUGAUUGAGCGUGCAGUCGGACUUGUGUGGAGCUUCUAUCUCAUUGCCGAUCCACUGAUCUAUGUGUUUCUUCAAAGCCAGACGAAAGCAAAAUUAAUGCAGCUCCUUUGUGGAAAAGAGGUUAAUGCAGUGACAAAUGGUGAAACGGCAAGGACAAUUACGAAGAUGUAGGCCCAGGAUGGUAGCACCAUAACCGAUAACAAUUGCCAUUUUUCAUGGAUUAUGUGUAAGAUAUGGCGUAAAAUUUUUAUAGUUUAGGCAGUGCUGCACAAGUAAAAUAGUGUUUCCGGCAGAUUUUUUGUUCGGAGGGGGUGGGGGUUUUGAACUAGCAGACUAUGAGAAUCUUGGUUCCACCUAAUUCAUCUAAACAUCUAAACAGAACACUUUUAGAAUGCCGGUUGUCACUGGCCCAGUUUUUUAAAGCUUUAGUACACUGCAAUUUGUUUGAAAUGAUCACUGUCCGGCUUAAGAGUUGAGUAAACAAUAUUUCUUUCCUUUCUUCGUUGAUAUGGAAGCUGUUAAAGUCAUAUAACACCUUAAAUGAAAGUCAUAUAACACCUUAUAUCAGGACUUGUUAAGACGUAUAGCUAAUUUUACCUCUCUCAACUCUUUCACCAUCUUUAUAUGCUGUUGUCCUUGUUUUUCUCAAAGACAGUCACAAUCUUUGUGUACUUGUUUGAAAUGGUAGCAGUACUUCGGUCUUCAUUUGUCCCUUGGUAGAUCUUCCAAGUUCCAAGCUGCACCUGUUCAAUUUAUCCGCACGCGAUAGUUCAUCGGAGCUAACGUUGGUCACUUGUGCCAGUUCCUUACAAUGAAGCCCUAACAGUCCUUCUGAUGGCAUCAUCUACAGUUCUGAGAGCCAUUGACACAGGUGCAAGUGGAUACGACAACGUUGUCUUGAGAUCAACUCCUGCAAUGUUCUUGUUCGAGUCCACAACUUUAAAGCCAAACGUGUCUCUCUUAAAAUUGUUUUUUCUUUCUUUAAUCUUCCACCUAAUUCUACUGAAGAGUCAUUGAAGGUUGCAACAACAUUAUUUCCAGUUAAAUUUUUAGGCAAGUAUUUUCGAGAGCACUGUCAGGUUUUAACUCCUCUCAGGUUUUAGACAAUCCCGACAACACUGUCAGGUGUACCCAAGCUCAUUCGGGUGUACCCAAGACCUUUGAUAAAAGGGUGGGCUUUGGAAGAAGAGGUCCAUUUUUGAAUCUGGAAAAGUCAUUGAAAAAGGUGUUUUCCGCAACCAGUUUAGGCCAAGAUUUGGCUGCAACAAGAUUUUUGCUGCAUCUCAAGGAUUCUUUAGAACGAGAUUUUUGCAUGUAUAGAGGUCAUUUGCAACUUAUAAUAGAAAUGUUGGUAGUUUUGUUUUACAAUGCGUUCUUUCUUCACUUAUCAUCAUUCUAGAAUAAAGCUAUUAACCUAUAAAAAUAAGAAUCAUAUAACUUGAACUUCAGCUUUAUACAACAAGUACAGCUUUAGCCAAAAUGGUGUGACAGAAUCAGAGUGUAGCAGAGCAGGGGCUCCUGUUCACUUUCUUCUUUUGUACAAAGUCUAGUGUAAUAUUUCAGUAAAAAGAACAUAAAUAUUUCACAUAGAAAUCAGAAGAAAGGGUUCUUUUUUAGAUCACUCGGAUGAGCUUGGGUACACAAUGAUUGAGAAUGGACAAGUCGGACAAUGAUUGGGCGAAAUUUGUCGUGUGUUUUAUAAAAAUUAAAGAAAAUCUAAGUUUUUAGUACAGAGGUUCGAAAGACAAAAAGGAAUCAUAGAUUUCAAUCUCUUGCUGUCAUGCAGAGAAAAUCAAAAGAUCCAUAUUCUGCAUUUUCUGCAUGCAAUCUAAAUCGCUAUGAUUUUCAAGGUCGUUUGAUACUUCAGUUAGGCUUCCUGGUAGAUAGAUCAUGGUUGGGAAUAAUAAGGCGUCUAUCUUCAGAGUGAUAUUUGUUACCAAGAACAUUCCUGGGAACUUUCGAAAAUCCAAGCUGAAGUGAAAAAUGGCCUCUAACUCAGGUGACAAUUUUAAGAAACUUUGAAACAAUAAAGCUAUUUUUAGAUGAUCCGGUAGUUUUUCCUUUACUGUCAUUUAUCAGUUAGUAAUGAAUACCGCUGCAUAUUUCCUAUGGACGGCAAUUCAAAAAUUAGCCCCAUCAAAAGAUGUAUUAAACUAUUUUUAUGUCUAUUCAAGGAUGAAAAUUUUAAGAUUAAGCAAUUUCCUUGUGAAACUGAGGCUCUUGGCCCCCCUUAACAGACCAAAAUUCAUGUUUAAGCAUUUUCGAACAAGAAAUAUGCUUAGUCAACUUUAAAAUUGUAAUUUUUUUCUAUUUAAACUGUUUUCUCAUUGAUUACCUUUAUAUUCGCAAAAACGAGAUUUCAAACAUGAUAAAGAGGCUGAAAGCCCCCCCUUCAAAAGAAAAUCCCUGUAUAACAUCGAUUUUCGAUAUCAGCGCCCUCGAAUUGAUCAAAAGCACUUAGUCCCUUAAUUUUCGCUCUCGGGUGACCAUUCUCCUAUUUUCCGCCAGGUCUAAAAUCGAGGAAAGCAAUCUUAAUAUGGCUAAGAAAACCAAUAAAUAAACUUUUAAACCACAAGGCUAAAUGAUGUUGAAAUACCAUAGGUUUUGUGAAGCGAUGUAGGAUACACACUUUUUUAUAUGAGAAUACCUAAAUUUGUGAUGCGUUUAAUACUCUUAAUUUAUUUCUGUUAUGAGGUUAAGAUUUUAUCUUAAUGUAAACGAGUUGCAUUAUAGUGUUGAUGACUCGGAUACAUCUAUUUCAAAACAUUUAGUUUUAAACUCAAAAAAUUAAACUCUUGAUGAAGCUUAAGUCUUGUAUUGUUCCUAAAUUACAGCGAUUUUGAGCCUUCAUAUUAUAGAUUAUGUUCUUAUAUAAAAAGUGUAUAUAAGUGAUGAGCAUUGGAUUUUCUACAUUCGCCUUUAUUUUAUUAGUAAAAACGAGUACUUGCUCUUACGAAUAAGAUUUUUUUGUAAAGUGAUCUUUGGGGUAUGUUAUAUUAUUUGCUUUAGAUAGGUAUUACGCACUUGAGAAGUUUGAUGUAUGAGAAUAAAGAGCUAUUUGCAAAAACUCACAAAAUUGUUUUUUCCAUUCGCUUGCAUAAACCUGUUACAUAUUUAUACUUACCGAACCCGUUGAUAUCCACAUUGCUUUGUGGGAUAGUUAAGAUUCUUUUCUUUUAUAAAAAGUUCAUUAGUUAGGAGCAGAUGGUAAAGAAAGAAAGCGCAUGAAUUCUCAUGUUUGAAGUUGAGUGGGAAGUGAGAAAAGAUGUAUGAA